AUUCCCUCUGCUCAAGUCCGGCCGUCUGCCACAGCAGUGCGACCCAUGGCAGACCAUCCAGGAGGCGGUGGUGGCAGCAGCGGCGUCCUUUCUUGUCUGCAUUUAUCUGCGCUGUUUGAAGCCUUGUGACCCGUCAGGACCCAACGGCUGUCUGAUCACAUUGCUGGGCUGCCUGCUGUCUUCGGGUUGGGAGAUCCUGGUUGGCCUGGAGGAAGAGAGAAGGCAGGCCUUGAGGUAGAAAAGCUGCCCAGAUUCUUUAGUGUGGGACACGUGGGCAUAGGUGCAUGUGUGUGGCCAGAGACCGUCAGACUAGGGAAGAGCAUGCAUUUUCCACAUUGGCAGCUCCCCGUGGGAAGGAAGGUGUGGUCCAUGGUCCACCUUAUAGCAAUUACAGCAUCCCCCACUUGUCAUGUGCCACUGCUUCUCUGUAAGCAGAGGGGGUGCACACAGCCCAUCCUGUGGAGGGAGGAGAGCCAUGAGCAAGGCAUCGUCCACAGAACCGACUCAGAUAGAUGUUCCAGGGUCGGGCCCCUAGCCACGAGCUCGAGAGCGAGCUGCACCCACCUGGCUGACUCCUGCUUCCCUCCAAACCACGAGGCUAGCUGCUGACUCCUAGUACUAGAGAAGACAGAAGGAAAUGGACUUUUCCCACUCCAGACAGGUGCAGACUAAGAGGAGAGAACAGAAUGGAUGUUCCUUCAAAACGACGACGGCACUAGACGGUGGCACAUGCCUGUAACUGUUAGGGAGGCAGGAGGGUCCCAGUGCAAGGCUGCCGGGGCUACACAGUGAAUUACGCCAGCAUGUGUGAGAACUUGGGUUUCAAAAAGCAAACCAGGCAUGGUGGUGCACACCUUUAAUUCCAGCACCUGGGAGGCAGAGGCAGGUGAGUUCAAGGCCAGCCUGGUCUACAGAGCAAGUUCCAGGUCAGCCAGGGCUACAGAGAGAGACCCUGUCUUGGGGAAAGAAUAGCCCGAGAAAGCCCUCCAAACUCGAAGGCUGCAGUGUGCUCAGAGGCUGGCUGACUGACCCAAGUGUGCAGUCCCCAAUAUUGGAGAGAAAAGAAAGAAGAGUCUAUUGCGGUGUGGCUGUAACCCUACCACCAGAGAAGCUGAGGCAGGACUGCUGGGCCAGCCUAGGAUACAGGGUGAAAGUGUCUCAGAACCCCAAGAUUAUGGCUGGACGUGUGCCUGAGCACAGAGCUGCCAGCAUACAGGAAGCCCAGGUUUGGUUGCAGUUCUGGGUAGGGGAGGGGAGGACAGCUGUAAGCCCAGCAGACAGAAGGUAGAGACAGAGGGAGAGGCAUUCAACGUUGUUAUUUCUACAAUGGUGAGUUUGUGGCUAGCCUAAGCUAAGUAAGACCUUGUGUGUGUGCCAGCACCUGCCUCUUUCUCAGUCUUCAACCACAUGAUCCUUAUUUAUCAUGUGUGCAGGGUUCUGUCUGCAUGGACGCCUGUCCAUGUUUAUCAUGUGUGCAGGGUUCUGUCUGCAUGGAUGCCUGUCCAUGCACACAUGAGGCCAGAUGGCGGCAUCAGACCCCACUACAGAUGGUUGUGAGCCUCCAUGUGGUUGCUGGGAUUUGAACUCAGGACCUCUGGAAGAGCAGUCAGUGCUCUUAACCACUGAGCCAUCUCUCCAGCCCAUGCAUACUUUAUUUUAAAAAACCCUUUAAAACGUAUUGUAUGGAAUACAUGUGUACCCCAAAGCACAAUUCAGAGGUCAGGGGACAUAGGGGCUGAUUCUCUCUCCACUGUCAGGGUCAUCAGGCGUGGCAACGAGUGCCCUUUGCAGCUGAGUGGUGUCAGCAGCCUGAGCCCAGCGUGUGCCUGGGUGCUGGGGUCCUGGCACAGGUCCUCAGGAUUGUCUAGCACCCACUGAUUGAGCCCCGCCUCCAGCCCCCAAAGGCAGGGCUUGAGUUUGGUGUUUUUUGGUUUUGAGACAGGGGUUCUCUGUGGCUCUGGCUGUUCUGGACAGCUCACUAUGUAGACCAGGCUGGCCUGAAACUCACAGAGGUCCAGGUGCCUCUGCCUCCUGAGUGCUAGGAUUAAAGGUGUGUGCCGCCACUGCCCAGCUCCAAAUGUCAUCAGAAAGUAACACAAUACAAAUCUAAAAUCU
ensembl:antisense 4921514A10Rik RIKEN cDNA 4921514A10 gene